ACCACCCUGGAGUACGCAGGCAUCCCCAGUCUCGGGCCUGCAGGAGUAGCUUUGGCCUAGCCGGUGACCAUCCUUGGCCCAGGCUGGCCCUACUUUGUGGCCAGGAUCACAGGCAGGGAGAGCCUGACAUUCCACCCCC
ensembl:miRNA eca-mir-9057 eca-mir-9057